GGGGUUGGCUCUAACGAAUUUGAAUGAGGAGUCUCAGCGCUUUCGGCGCCAUUUUCGAGUGAUGCCUGAUCUCAUCAAUCUAGCGGGAGGGAAGGGAUAACCUGUCCGAGCCUAGCGCGACGCUAGGAUCACGCCGGAAAAUCCCCCAAAAAUCAUCAAAAAAAUUAACUUAGAGCAGAGGGCAGUCGGUGGGGCUUCGCCAGAUGCGGCGCAGUCGAUUUUAACCAUUAGAAGAAUACCAGUUCUGGAAAACAACCAAAGUUUCUUUGAUUGAAUGCCCAUGUAAUGCAUUGGAAUAUGAUAGGCGAUUAAGGUUUAACAAUGUUAAAAUGAAGAUAUUACUAAAAUGGCCCUCUAAAUAGCCCAACAAUUAUUAUUUUCUUUGUCCUAUGGAUUUGGCUUUGAAAGAUGUGCUGCUCUUAAUAAGUGUGUAGUCAUUAAACCCAGAACCUCAGAGGGCUCUACUACUAAACCAUAUACCAGUACCAAAACCGAAAAAUAUUGACGAUACUUUUGUGCUGAAUAUUCCUCAGCCUUAACUUACUAAUGCUUAUGCCCAAUGGAUCUUCCUUCAUGAAGUACCCUCUCCUCCCCCCCAUUUAUCUUUGGUGAUUUUAAUAAAUAAUACCUUUGGAAAAUGAUA
rnacentral:lncRNA from 1 species